AAGGUUUCUUACGAAUAAGAUCUCGCCAAUUACUUAGCCUUUCUUGGAGGUGCGAUCGCAGGUAACAAUAUCGUGCUGAGUGUCCAAUACGAAGGGCAACACAGGCCAGCUAUGAGCUCCGAAAUCAUCACUUUCGCGUGCCGACCUUGUCCCUUUAUGGGGAAAGUUAACAUCGGCUGCACCGCUAUCGGCGAGCUGCAGUCGGCGAGUUGCGGUCGGACGCGACGGAGUCCCAGAACC
rnacentral:ncRNA from 1 species